GAGCCACACUAUCCCACUAAUGGCUCAGUUACAAGCAUCAGAGUUGAUGUUUGAGUAAUUUGGCUCAGCCGACCAAAGAAGCCUGACAUCAGUACUCAUACUUGCUCUACCAGGGAGAUACAGGGAAUUCCUCAAAGAAGAUGGUGUCUGAUUUCUGAUCCUCUUGCAUCUUCUGAAGCAAGAAGAGGCUGAGAGACCUCUCAACCCUCUGACUACCUUCAAGGAUGAAUGAAUGAAGCUGCCAUCAUUUGCCAGGAAAUACAAAGACAACUACUGACAGGCACAUGGCUUCCCCACCCUAAACGACCCUAAGACUGCAUUUCCCAUUCUUGAACAUUCCCCCAUGCACCACACAGAGCACAUGGAUAUAGUGGGGGUUUGGGAGGAGGGAUGGAGGAGCUGGGCCAUCUGCACUUAAGUCACUAGAAAAUGUACUUCACCCCUCCAGGUUUCAUUUUUCUUAUCUGUAAACUAGAAGUGGUGAUAUCUGUACUGUUCCUCUUACUAACAUUGUGAGGAUCCAAUAAGUAAAUGCAUAUCACACA